ACGGGAGGCAGCAGUGGGGAAUAUUGGACAAUGGGCGAAAGCCUGAUCCAGCGACGCCGCGUGAGUGAAGAAGUAUUUCGGUAUGUAAAGCUCUAUCAGCAGGGAAGAUAAUGACGGUACCUGACUAAGAAGCCCCGGCUAACUACGUGCCAGCAGCCGCGGUAAUACGUAGGUGGCAAGCGUUGUCCGGAUUUACUGGGUGUAAAGGGUGCGCAGGCGGGACUGCAAGUUGGAUGUGAAAUACCGGAGCUUAACUCCAGGGCUGCAUCCAAAACUGUGGUUCUUGAGUGGAGUAGAGGUAAGCGGAAUUCCGAGUGUAGCGGUGAAAUGCGUAGAUAUUCGGAGGAACACCAGUGGCGAAGGCGGCUUACUGGGCUCUAACUGACGCUGAGGCACGAAAGCAUGGGUAGCAAACAGGAUUAGAUACCCUGGUA
rnacentral:rRNA from 1 species